rnacentral:rRNA from 1 species
CCUACGGGUGGCAGCAGUGAGGGAUAUUGGUCAAUGGGCGCGAGCCUGAACCAGCGAAGUCGCGUGAGGGAAGACGGACCUACGGGUUGUAAACCUCUUUUGCCGGGGAGCAACGGGCGCCACGUGUGGCGCCACUGAGAGUACCCGGAGAAAAAGCAUCGGCUAAGUCCGUGCCAUUAGCCGCGGUAAUACGGAGGAUGCGAGCGUUAUCCGGAUUGAAUGGGUGUAAGGGAUGCUUAGGCGGAGCGUUAAGUCAGUGGUCAAAUUGAGGGGCUCAACCCCUUCCCGCCAUGGAAACUGGCGCUCUUGAGUGGAAGAGAGGUAUGCGGAAUGCGUGGUGUAGCGGUGAAAUGCAUAGAUAUCACGCAGAACCCCGAUUGCGAAGGCAGCAUGCCGGCUUCCGACUGACGCUGAAGCACGAAAGCGUGGGGAUCGAACAGGAUUAGAUACCCGGGUAGUC